rnacentral:rRNA from 1 species
GAUGAACGCUGGCGGCGUGCCUAAUACAUGCAAGUCGAGCGAAGAGGGGACGGGGGAGUAACACGUGGAUAACCUCCUAUAAGUCUGGGUAAACUUCGGGAAACCGGUGCUAAACCCGAUACUUUUAGCUGGAUCCGCGCUGCAUUAGCUAGUUGGUAAGGUAACGGCUUACAAAGGCAACAAUGCAUAGCCGACCUGAGAGGGUGAGCGGCCACACUGGGACUGAGACACGGUCCAGACUCCUACGGGAGGCAGCAGUAGGGAAUCUUCCGCAAUGGGCGAAAGCCUGACGGAGAAACGCCGCGUGAGUGAAGAAGGUCUUCGGAUCGUAAAACUCUGUUAUUAGGGAAGCGGUACCUAAUCAGAAAGCCACGGCUAACUACGUGCCAGCAGCCGCGGUAAUAC